GCCGGAGUAGCUCAGCCUGGCAGAGCAACCGCCUCGUAAGUGGUAGGUCAGGGGUUCGAAUCCCCUCUCCGGCUCCA
rnacentral:tRNA from 2 species